rnacentral:rRNA from 1 species
CAAGGCGACGAUCCCUAGCUGGUCUGAGAGGAUGACCAGCCACACUGGAACUGAGACACGGUCCAGACUCCUACGGGAGGCAGCAGUGGGGAAUAUUGCACAAUGGGCGCAAGCCUGAUGCAGCCAUGCCGCGUGUAUGAAGAAGGCCUUCGGGUUGUAAAGUACUUUCAGCGGGGAGGAAGGUGUUGUGGUUAAUAACCGCAGCAAUUGACGUUACCCGCAGAAGAAGCACCGGCUAACUCCGUGCCAGCAGCCGCGGUAAUACGGAGGGUGCAAGCGUUAAUCGGAAUUACUGGGCGUAAAGCGCACGCAGGCGGUCUGUCAAGUCGGAUGUGAAAUCCCCGGGCUCAACCUGGGAACUGCAUUCGAAACUGGCAGGCUUGAGUCUUGUAGAGGGGGGUAGAAUUCCAGGUGUAGCGGUGAAAUGCGUAGAGAUCUGGAGGAA